rnacentral:lncRNA from 1 species
GGUAAUCUUACUGGCGGUGAGAAUACUCCAGUCCCCCCACCCCGCCUAUAUUAGCCCCUCUUCUCUCUAGCACUGGCAGCAGUGAGAAUCUCGAUUUCACUCCCGUACCUUCCUCGACGGCGUCCGGGGACGGUUUCCCGAUUCCGAUGGCCGUGGUCGCCGACAAGUCUCAGCUCAAGGCGAAAACCAAGGCACCGGCGCCGGGCUCCCACCCCCGUUAUAUUCCGAAGCGAGGCCAGACCCUGAGGCGGGUCCUCCGCGCCGUGUUCUCCUCGGUUCUCGCCACCGUCGAUGGCCGGAGCAAAAGGAUCCGACCAUCUGCCGCCGUCUCCACUGCUAACAAGUCCAGCCUUCCUUCAUGUUUCCAUUUCAAUUCAGAAGGACGAUCAUCGGCCAGAUGCGUCCGGUUAGAGGACAAAUCUUAGCUUCUUGUAAUCUUAUUUUUGUUUUUAUUUUUAUUUUUUAUAGCAUUCAAGUGCCGAUUUUGUUUCAACAGUAAAUAUGCUGCAAGACCAUCUGAUGUUGUUUUUUAAUCUGUCUCUUGUUCUGGAUAUUAAAACUACCAAAACAACUCUAAAACAGAGGGGUUUUAUUGGGAUCCAUGGCGCAAUUCUUAUGGAUGUGGUGGUGUAUUGAUCUGAUUGAGACAUAUUGGAUAUUAGUAGAGCAGAUUGGAUUUGUAGCAUCCAGUAUAAUUAAUUUUCUUGAUUUGUUAUCUCAAUUGAGUUAAUAUAUCCAUGCACAACCCAUUUCACUUUAUUCAUCGAAUGGUUGUCUGGAAGCUAGAGGUCGGCAUAAUUGGCAAAUAAGUUCUUUACAUUUGCCUUGGAUUCAUUCAUUUAUCCUUCUUCUUUUUUUUUUUUUUUACAGAUAAUAUCUUAAAUUUAGUACGCUGUCUCUUUCUUAAACUAUUAGGGACAAAUAUAAUGAGAUCCAUCACCAUUUAUAAAUUUAGUAAUUGGGUUUAUUAGUUCCCAAUAUAAAUUUAGAUCUGUCUCCAUCUGUCUGGUUCAAAAAGAGGAAGGUCUUUCCCAUCGUGAUCGAUUCUGACAGAUAGAUGUCAAUCUGAUGGAUAGGGGUGGUCGGGAUUAUGUCAAUGUGGACUGUGACCAGUGGGGUCCGGAUAAUCGGUCAAAGUAGGCGGCUAAACGGUAUUCUCUUGAAUUGUUAGCUUCGCAACCCCGAACACAGAACAGAAUUAUCAGACAAUUCUCUGGCGUUUGACCAUCUCGAUGGUCGGUUUGACUGACAGUGUUUGAACAACGACUCAGAUUGGCUCUUCAAAUCUUCCAUUCCGGUCUGGUUUUUAAAUCAGUGGUCAGGUGAUCGCUGCAUCACAUAUAUUAUAUACUGGCUAAGAUACUUUAACCCUUUUAGGUGACUCAAUCUCAGACUUGGCUUUUGAGAAUAGGAAAAAGAGGAGUUAAUUUAAAGCGAGAAGCUGAUCUUUUAUGCUAUAUAUAUAUAUAUAUAUAGAGAGAGAG